GAAGCUACAUCAGUCUUAAAUAUAUCAUCAUCCUCUUUAACAACUGAGACCACAGAUGAUCCUGAGAAUAAAACUUCAACACCUGUAGUUACAUCCAAAGCACAAAGAACAACUUCAAGUCCUUUACCAACUCCUCCAUCUAAGACAGACUCCCCUAUUAAUUCAAACAGAAAUUCUUCUAGUUCUCAUGAAGCUACAUCACCUUCUUUAACAAUUGAGGCCAUAGAUAAACCGAAGGAUCCAACUUCAAAACCUGUAGUUACAUCUAAAGCACAAAGAACAACUUCAUGUCCCUUAUCAAUUCAAGAAAACAAGACAGGCUCCCCCAAUAAUACAAACAGAAAUUCUUCUAGUUCUCAUGGUGAGAUUUAUUAUAAACAAAAGGUUAAGAAUUAUACCUACAAAUGAAAAGGACUUUAACUCCAAACAAUUAUAAAAUGAUGAAUAAUUUGUUUAUAUAUUGUUUGUUUUUAAACUUUGCAUUUUAAACAAUUUUACUUUCUUCUUCUUCUUCGUCUUCUUCUUCUAUAUUGCAUAUAGUCAAGUCAGGUUAAUAUAGCGAAUGUUACACAAACGCAAAGUUUAUAUGGCUAUAAACUCAAAGCUUCUAAAUAAAUGAUUAACAGUAUAAAACAUAAAGUCAAAAUCGGUUUAAUAAAGCUAAGAUUUAUCAGCGGUUUUUCCUCGAGCACAAGCCAGUCAUAGCUCAAGCUAUGAUGUCAUAGCCUCCCUGACGGAAUUUUCAGCAGUCAGCAUGGGUAAAAUCAACAAGUAAGGUUUGAUUAUUUCAUUUUAUUGUUGUCAUUUCUUCAUAUUUAAAAUUAUUGUAUCUGCAUGAAUAAUUUACAUGUUAGCUAUCAUAACUUUUUAUUUCCAGGUAAACAUAUUUUUACCCAAUCCAGAAUAAGCCUUGCAUAUAACGGUUUGAUCCAUGGCGAUUAUUACUAUUGGUUUCUUUGGUUCUGUUUUUCAACUGAGUCAAAUCCCCUGCAAUUGCUUGAGUGGCACAGCAUUGUUUUGUUUUAUUUGGAAAAAAAAUAUUAUAGCCCCAUCUCAUUUUUGCAUUACUUAAGUUUGGUAUAUGAUAAAAUUUUUAUGUUGUUUAAUUUUCCAGCUUUGUUCGUAAUUUUAAACUUUUUUAUUUUAUUACAUUAUAAUAUGAAAAAAAUUAAAAGAAACUACAGAAGAAAAACGUACGUACAGCUUUAUAUCAUAUGUAGCUUUUGUGGGUUUCAAUGUUUUUUUUCUUUUUCAUACUAAUUUUUCACAUUUUGCAUUUAUAAUUAUUA